AUUGAACGCUGGCGGCAUGCCUUACACAUGCAAGUCGAACGGUAACGGGCCUUCGGGUGCCGACGAGUGGCGAACGGGUGAGUAAUGCAUCGGAACGUACCUUUCAGUGGGGGAUAACGUAGCGAAAGUUACGCUAAUACCGCAUAUUCUGUGAGCAGGAAAGCAGGGGAUCGCAAGACCUUGCGCUGAUUGAGCGGCCGAUGUCAGAUUAGCUAGUUGGUGAGGUAAAGGCUCACCAAGGCGACGAUCUGUAGCGGGUCUGAGAGGAUGAUCCGCCACACUGGAACUGAGACACGGUCCAGACUCCUACGGGAGGCAGCAGUGGGGAAUUUUGGACAAUGGGGGGCAACCCUGAUCCAGCCAUGCCGCGUGAGUGAAGAAGGCCUUCGGGUUGUAAAGG
rnacentral:rRNA from 1 species